rnacentral:rRNA from 1 species
AGCGAACGCUGGCGGCAGGCCUAACACAUGCAAGUCGAACGAACUCUUCGGAGUUAGUGGCGGACGGGUGAGUAACACGUGGGAACGUGCCUUUAGGUUCGGAAUAACUCAGGGAAACUUGUGCUAAUACCGAAUGUGCCCUUCGGGGAAAGAUUUAUCGCCUUUAGAGCGGCCCGCGUCUGAUUAGCUAGUGGUGAGGUAAAGGCUCACCAAGGCGACGAUCAGUAGCUGGUCUGAGAGGAUGAUCAGCCACAUUGGGACUGAGACACGGCCCAAACUCCUACGGGAGGCAGCAGUGGGGAUCUUGCGCAAUGGGCGAAAGCCUGACGCAGCCAUGCCGCGUGAAUGAUGAAGGUCUUAGGAUUGAAAAUUCUUUCACCGGGGACGAUAAAUGACGGUACCCGGGAGAAGAAGCCCCGGCUAACUCCGUGCCAG